rnacentral:tRNA from 1 species
UUGGUCGAAGCCAAAUUAGAGGCAUAUCACUGUUAAUGAUUGAAUUGAAUCUUAUUCCUUCCAAG